rnacentral:rRNA from 1 species
UACGUAGGGGGCUAGCGUUGUCCGGAUUUAUUGGGCGUAAAGAGCGUGUAGGCGGCCAGGUAGGUCUGCUGUGAAAACUCGAGGCUCAACCUCGAGAUGUCGGCGGAAACCAUCUGGCUAGAGUCCGGAAGAGGAAAGUGGAAUUCCUGGUGUAGCGGUGAAAUGCGUAGAUAUCUGGAGGAAUACCGGUGGCGAAGGCGGCAUCCUGGACCGACAUUGACGCUGAACGGCGAAAGCUAGGGGAGCAAACGGG